rnacentral:rRNA from 1 species
UGGGGAAUUUUGCACAAUGGGGGAAACCCUGAUGCAGCGACGCCGCGUGAUUUAGAAGGCCUUCGGGUUGUAAAAAUCUUUUGUAUAGGAAGAAAAUGACAGUACCAUAGGAAUAAGGACCGGCUAAUUACGUGCCAGCAGCCGCGGUAAUACGUAAGGUCCGAGCGUUGUCCGGAAUCAUUGGGCGUAAAGGGUACGUAGGCGGGUAAGCAAGUUAGAAGUGAAAUCCUGUAGCUCAACUACAGUAAGCUUUUAAAACUGCUCAUCUUGAGAUAUGGAAGGGAAAGUGGAAUUCCUAGUGUAGCGGUGAAAUGCGCAGAUAUUAGGAGGAAUACCGGUGGCGAAGGCGACUUUCUGGCCAUAAUCUGACGCUGAGGUACGAAAGCGUGGGUAGCAAACAGG